rnacentral:tRNA from 43 species
GCUGAUAUGGCUCAGUUGGUAGAGCGCAUCCUUGGUAAGGAUGAGGUCCCCAGUUCGACUCUGGGUAUCAGCACCA